GGAAGGAUCAUUGAAUCUAUCACAAUCCACAACCGUGAACCAUAUUGUUGGCCUCCGUCCUCGCAAGGGGACGGGCUGGGGCCGCCAGAUUAACUUCUGGCUGGUGCCAGGUCUCUGGCUGGCUGGCCGCUUGGCUGGCUGGCUGGGGUCGGUCUUUAUCCAACCAACCCAACACCAAACCAAAACACCUAAACAAAAUCAGAGUGACGGCUCAGAGCCGAAGCUCAUCAACCAAGACAACUCUCAACAACGGAUAUCUUGGCUCUCGCAACGAUGAAGAACGCAGCGAAAUGCGAUACGUAGUGUGAAUUGCAGAAAUACGUGAACCAUCGAAUCUUUGAACGCAUAUUGCGCCCGCGUCUUCGGACAAGGGCAUGUCUGCCUCAGCGUCGGGUUAAUACUCGCACCACAACUCUCUGGGUUGUGUCUCCAAAGUGCGGAUCUGGCUGUCCCAAUCGGGCUUCGGCUCUGGUUGGGUCAGCUGAAGAAGAGAGGUUGACGCAUGGACCCGAUAUGGGCCUCAGCUGGGUAGGCAAUUCGUUGCUAAUGCUUUAGCUGGUGGCUUGUGGACUAUGUGGACCGUGCAUUUGUCGGCCCAAACCAGGAACCAAGCCUUGUGCUUGGCAUUAACCCAUUUUCUCGACCUGAGCUCAGGCAAGAACACCCGCUGAACUUAAGCAUAUCAAUAAGCGGAGGAAAAGAAACUAACAAGGAUUCCCCUAGUAACGGCGAGUGAAACGGGAAUAGCCCAACUUGAAAAUCUCCCUUUGGAGAAUUGUAGUCUACAGAAGCGCCCUCUGGAGCGGGCGGAGCUCAAGUCGGAUCGAAUGCCGCGUCAGAGAGGGUGAUAACCCCGUCGGCUCCUGCUUAGCUUCUUCACGAGGUGCUUUCCACGAGUCGGGUUGUUUGGGAAUGCAGCCCUAAUUUGGAGGUAAAUCCCUUCUAAGGCUAAAUAUUGGCGAGAGACCGAUAGCGAACAAGUACCGUGAGGGAAAGAUGAAAAGAACUUUGAAAAGAGAGUUAAAAGUGCUUGAAAUUGUUGAGAGGGAAGCGUUGUGAAUUCGUAGGUGCGCCCAGGCUUAAGCAGGCCUAAAAACCUGUUGAAUGUGCUGGGCGCUGGUCAACGUGGGUUCGUUUGGCGGGAUAACAGUUGGGUCCACCAAGGUAACCCGGCCUAUGCCGCCGAAUGGACCAAGGCGUAAAGGUUGCUUUGUCCUCCGGGAUCUGCAUCCUAAAGACGUUGGCAGAAGGAUUUACACCGACCCGUCUUGAAACACGGACCAAGGAGUCUAACAUGUAUGCGAGUUGGUGGGUGGUAAACCCAUAAGCGCAAGUAACCUGACUGGAGCGAUGGCUUAUGCCUGCAGCUUCGACCGACCAUGUUGCUUCUGCGAAAGGUUUGAGUGCGAGCAUACCUGUUGGGACCCGAAAGAUGGUGAACUAUGCCUGAGCAGGGUGAAGCCAGAGGAAACUCUGGUGGAGGCUCGUAGAUGUGCUGACGUGCAAAUCGCUUUUCGGACUUGGGUAUAGGGGCGAAAGACUAAUCGAACCAUCUAGUAGCUGGUUCCCUC
rnacentral:misc_RNA from 1 species